rnacentral:misc_RNA from 1 species
GUACUCUCAAGCUAUGCUUGGUAUUGGGUGCUUGUCCUCUCCUUUGUAGUGGACUCACCUUAAAUUCAUUGGCAGCCAAUGUAUUGGUCUUGAAGCGCAGCACAUUUUGCGCCUCUAGCUGAUAAUCAUUAGCGUCCAUAAGUAUAUUUAACAC